rnacentral:rRNA from 1 species
GAUGAACGCUGGCGGCGUGCCUAAUACAUGCAAGUCGAGCGAACGGACGAGAAGCUUGCUUCUCUGAUGUUAGCGGCGGACGGGUGAGUAACACGUGGAUAACCUACCUAUAAGACUGGGAUAACUUCGGGAAACCGGAGCUAAUACCGGAUAAUAUUUUGAACCGCAUGGUUCAAAAGUGAAAGACGGUCUUGCUGUCACUUAUAGAUGGAUCCGCGCUGCAUUAGCUAGUUGGUAAGGUAACGGCUUACCAAGGCAACGAUGCAUAGCCGACCUGAGAGGGUGAUCGGCCACACUGGAACUGAGACACGGUCCAGACUCCUACGGGAGGCAGCAGUAGGGAAUCUUCCGCAAUGGGCGAAAGCCUGACGGAGCAACGCCGCGUGAGUGAUGAAGGUCUUCGGAUCGUAAAACUCUGUUAUUAGGGAAGAACAUAUGUGUAAGUAACUGAGCACAUCUUGACGGUACCUAAUCAGAAAGCCGCGGCUAACUACGUG